GACGAACGCUGGCGGCGUGCUUAACACAUGCAAGUCGAACGGAAAGGCCCUGCUUUUGUGGGGUGCUCGAGUGGCGAACGGGUGAGUAACACGUGAGUAACCUGCCCUUGACGUUGGGAUAACUUCAGGAAACUGGGGCUAAUACCGGAUAGGAGCUCCUGCUGCAUGGUGGGGGUUGGAAAGUUUCGGCGGUUGGGGAUGGACUCGCGGCUUAUCAGCUUGUUGGUGGGGUAGUGGCUUACCAAGGCUUUGACGGGUAGCCGGCCUGAGAGGGUGACCGGCCACAUUGGGACUGAGAUACGGCCCAGACUCCUACGGGAGGCAGCAGUGGGGAAUAUUGCACAAUGGGCGGAAGCCUGAUGCAGCAACGCCGCGUGCGGGAUGACGGCCUUCGGGUUGUAAACCGCUUUCGCCUGUGACGAAGCGUGAGUGACGGUAAUGGGGAAAGAAGCACCGGCGAACUACGU
rnacentral:rRNA from 1 species